UCUAGGCCACCUGGUUUCAAGAAUUGGUGCAACCUUCCCCAAUUUGUAACCCCAUAAUUUUAUGCUGGAGAAAUAACAACUCUUAAAGACGUCCUGUCCAGUAAAAUCCUAAAUCUGCUUGUUCCUGCUUUGGGUGACUGUGCAUAGAUUCAAAAUAAUAAGAUCUGAAGAAUUUGGGGCCUUCUGGAGCUUCUAAUGAUGUUUGCUGACAGUGCAACCCUGCACUGGUGACACCACGGCCAAUCACAUUUUUGCUCUGUUUCGUCCCAUUUUUUUUAUUGUUGUUGUCGUUGUUGUUAUUGCAUCUGCUUGAUAUGGACCAAAGCUGUGUAUAGAAAUUACAUUUUCUCCUGUAAAAGUUUAUUUCCAUCCAACUGGGCAACUUGUCCCAGGUUUGCCCUCACAUCUGGAUAAUUGAACAUGCUACAUAAAGAUUGUGGGGGAUAGAAAGUUUGCCGGCACUGGCCCAAGAGGGACCUCAUCAUCUCAUCUCCAGAACUGAUCCAGGCUGUUGUACGGUUUGCAAAAAACCAGAAAUGGACAUCGCCUUUUUUUUUUUUCAUCUUUCAACAUAGGAGAAACAGAUGUCAACAUAGGUCACACGGAUGUCAAGCGGUGGUGGGAUUCAACUAGUGUAACAACCGGGUCGGUGAGCUGUGCGCGCACAGCAUUUCAAAAUCACCCAUGUUCAGGUCUAAAACUUACCUUCUGCUGCAGCCUCAGUGAAUAAAACAUGGAAAUAUAGGAUGGGCACAGGUGGGUGUGGCCAACUAAUCGCCGGAACUACUGGUUUGCCCGAACCGGUCUGUACCAGCUGAAUCCUACCCCUGAUGUCAAGCAAGGGGGAGACAGAAGGUGGCAUCUUAUUGGCUGGAGCCUGGUCUUUUUCAGGAGUGGCAGAGCAAUGGGAGCAAUUGACCCCAGAUCUCCCAAUGGAUCAAUACUUUCAAGACUCUAAAGGCCCUUUAGGAGGAGAAUUGUUCUUCUAGGGUAUCUCCAUUGUCAACGACGGGCCCAAAAAAGUAGAAUAGGGAAAGGGACGCAGACAUUUGAUGUCGCAGGAAGAAAGGAAUCAGCCUUUCUUCCGUCACCACCCAAGUGGUCCAGAACACAGGUCCCAAACAAUGUAGAUUGGCAUUUGGGG